CCUACGGGUGGCAGCAGUCGAGAAUCAUUCACAAUGGGGGAAACCCUGAUGGUGCGACGCCGCGUGGGGGAAUGAAGGUCUUCGGAUUGUAAACCCCUGUCAUGUGGGAGCAAAUUAAAAAGAUAGUACCACAAGAGGAAGAGACGGCUAACUCUGUGCCAGCAGCCGCGGUAAUACAGAGGUCUCAAGCGUUGUUCGGAAUCACUGGGAGGAAAGCGUGCGUAGGCUGUUUCGUAAGUCGUGUGUGAAAGGCGCGGGCUCAACCCGCGGACGGCACAUGAUACUGCGAGACUAGAGUAAUGGAGGGGGAACCGGAAUUCUCGGUGUAGCAGUGAAAUGCGUAGAUAUCGGGAGGAACACUCGUGGCGAAGGCGGGUUCCUGGACAUUAACUGACGCUGAGGCACGAAGGCCAGGGGAGCGAAAGGGAUUAGAUACCCGGGUAGUC
rnacentral:rRNA from 1 species